GACGAACGCUGGCGGCGUGCUUAACACAUGCAAGUCGAACGGAAAGACCCUGCUUUUGUGGGGUGCUCGAGUGGCGAAAGGGUGAGUAACACGUGAGUAACCUGCCCUUGACUUUGGGAUAACUUCAGGAAACUGGGGCUAAUACCGGAUAGGAGCUCCUGCUGCAUGGUGGGGGUUGGAAAGUUUCGGCGGUUGGGGAUGGACUCGCGGCUUAUCAGCUUGUUGGUGGGGUAGUGGCUUACCAAGGCUUUGACGGGUAGCCGGCCUGAGAGGGUGACCGGCCACAUUGGGACUGAGAUACGGCCCAGACUCCUACGGGAGGCAGCAGUGGGGAAUAUUGCACAAUGGGCGGAAGCCUGAUGCAGCAACGCCGCGUGCGGGAUGACGGCCUUCGGGUUGUAAACCGCUUUCGCCUGUGACGAAGCGUGAGUGACGGUAAUGGGUAAAGAAGCACCGGCUAACUACGUG
rnacentral:rRNA from 1 species